AGGCUUCGGCCUAAUGCUUAAUCGGUUAAUCCAAUAGUAGACUUGCGAGAAAUCAUGCUAAAUGGGCCCUUGAGAAAGAAAAAGAAGAAAAAUCAAACCAAACCGAAAUCUAAAAUACAAUUAGACUUGUAAACCAAAUUGAACCGGGAAGAUCAUGUGGGAGUCUCGAGGCUGCCUGUUUCAGACAAGUUGCUGAAUUGUUUAAUUCACCGGGUUUAUUUUUGGUGUUUUAUUGAGGUUUCAUUCCAAUAGUCGUUACAGUUUUAUUGUAUUUCUUAGUCAAGAUAGGAAGCUUUUUAUAUGAGAUGGUAUAUUCGAUAUGAGAAAUUUACACAGUAGUGUAUACACUUACGUAUGAUGGUGCAAAAAUCUUCCAUCCGCAUGUCAUGUCGUUUUGGUAGGCAGAGCGGCCAUCUUUUGCACAUAUUAAUCUUUGAGUGCCUUUAUCAUGUUUGACCCUUCGGUAUGUAAAAGAUCGCUAUUUCAAUAUCUCUUCAGUAAUAUUGAAAUCGAUUUUUUACCUUGGCAUACAAUUUUGAAUUUUCUACUUAACAAAUUGUUUUGAAUUUUUUUUAAUUGUUUUAGACUUUUAGGCAUGUUUAUUGUUGUACUUU